CAUGUGGUUGAGAUAUUGAUCUAUGUUCCCUACCGUGAAUUAUUCCAGCUAGAAAACAAUAGAUUUUCUAUUUUGGCUUGUUUGCUAAAGAGCGUGAGUUAAGACAAAGGUUCUAUGUUCUGGGUUUGUGGUAUGUUCCUCCUUUGAUCUACGUGAGUCAAAGCAGAGCUGAGCAGAUCUUCAAUCCCCAGAAGGUCUGAGCACGAAGCCACCCACAAGACUGUGUCGGCAUUCUCCCUUUCCUGUGUUUCUGGGGACAGAGUUGUCCUGCCUGUUGCAGAGAAAGGAAGAAUGAUGGGAGAUCUGGGGAGCAGGAUCGUUGCCUUGCUGUUGGCCAUCUCCACAGGGGUCCAAUGCCAGGACCGAGUGGAUCAGAAGCCCGUGGAAGUCAUCAAAGAAGGAGAAGAUUCCACCAUCGUCUGUCAGUUCAGCUCCAGUAAUGUGUAUAACAUGCACUGGUACAGGCAAUAUCCAGGAGAAGGACCUGUGUUUCUCUUAAUGGUUACAUCGGUGGAAUUGGAGAAACGCGACCACUUCAGUGCCUCUUUUGAGAAGCAGAAGGAAAGUCAGCUGAACAUCACAAGAGUGCAUUUGAAAGAUGCCGCUGUCUAUUUCUGUGCAGCUGGAGAUACCCAGCAACACAGAGGCACCUGCUGUUUGUACAAAAACCUUCUAAGGCUGAGCAGUUCCGUGAAGGGGAAAUGAAUCUCAGCUGGGGAAUUGGGGAUGCAGAGAUGCACCAGCUGACCCAAAACAAGCCGCAUGUGGGUAGAACCUGCAUUAGUAUCAACCAGAAAUUGAAAAAGAAGCAUUCCUGUUGUGUUGCAAGGUGGGAAAAUAGUGAUAGAAAAGCACCAAGGAAAAUCAGACGUACCAGGCAUUUCAAAUGGGUAUACAGAUUUAUUUCAAUUUAAGCUCUCUACAAGAAUCUGAGCUACUAAAUUUCCAAGGAAAUUGGAGGUAGAUAAUAGCCAGUGGAAUUCAAGGUGGGCUGGACUUAGAUCUCUUGUGGGCACAAAGGGACUCGUCACCGAUGGUGUAUUUGACCUCUCCCUAGGGCUCAGCCUGGUCAUCUCCUACAUCGAUAUAUCCAAGGACAUUCCCACCACUUGCAAGGCUCAAGUACAUUGGAAUUCCUUGCGCAUGGAAGCUACAUCCUGAUUUGCCAAUCCAAAGCAUUGGCUACGAAAUGGAGAAACCAAACAGCAGCCUUGAAAAGAGAAAAAGUGACUCAGUUUGAGACUCCAG